GGGAGGACCCGGCGGCUGCCCUGCGCCGGGGAAAAAGCGCUGCAGACUGAAGUCCCCCAGGCCGCUGCUGGGGGUUCCGCCCGAGGCGCCGCGGGGGCAAGCCAGAUCGGCGGGGAUACAGUCUAGGGAGAGGGAAGAGCUUUCCAUGUUCCUCUGCCACUAGGCCUCAUGUCUCCAAGUGUUACAUCUGCAUUAUAUGAAUCGGAUGCCCCAGGAAAUGGAAUCCCUUACAGUUCCGCUAGAAAUUUUCUGAAUAUUCCUUCUUCAAUUUGUCAGGGCCAAAGAUGAUGUUGUUGGGCUCCAGCCACUGACCUAACUGGGUCAUACAGGAUGUGCUGUACCUGAGGUCAUGCAACACGCACAGGUAACAUGGCUACUACAGAAGGAAAGGAGGGAGAAAGGAGGACCAGUCAGCUCUUUCAUGCCGUGCCCUGCCCUGCCUGCCUGUCUGCCUGAAAGGGGAACUAUUGGUGCUGUUGUUUUAAUUUUUAAACAGUUGGCUUGGCUUAUUGAGUUGAUCUGUGGUUUAUUGUUGUUGUACUCUGUGCAUG